UUUGGGAACACACAGUGAGCGGAGCGUCCGCAGUCGCAGUAGCACUCGAAGUCCGCAUCCGCAGCGUUUUCGAAUACGUUUUUCGAAACACAUCCGUGUGCUAACCAACCUCAUCUGUCCCCAUCGAACCCACUACCGUGAUCGCGUCCGUAAUCGCGCCCUUUUGCCGUACUCCAAGCUCCGGUCUUUUGCGGAAUCGUGUCCAAGGGAGAUCGAAACAACAAUCUCAACGGAUUUGAAGUUGGAAACAGAAAAGUUCGUUUCGAAACCCAAGUAUUGCUGGCCAAGAGAGUCGUUACAACUUGAAAAGGCCGCUGAAAUCGUUUAAUUCACAAGCAAUUCGAGGAUAAGAAAUAUAUUUGGUUAGUGCUGUGUUUGAAAAAGGCAUACAUCGGAGAUGUAUGAAAAUGUUGAAUUGUUGUUGCCAUAAGUUUUAAAGUGUGCAAAGUGCAACUCUCUUUAAAUCAACGAAAAGUACAACGCGUCCAAAAAAAGAAUCGUAAAACUGAAAAAAGCAAACAAACAUAAAAGUAAGCUCGUCAAAAAUGUUAGCCAAUCCAACUUUGGCCACCUAAAAGCGAGCUGAGAUUGCUCCAUUCAUCACUCCCCAGUUUUUAUCGCGGGAACAUCUGACAUGACAAGAAAGUCAUUGGCGUUGAUAAGAUGCAUUAUCAGCGGGGAAGACGAAGAUGAAGAUCCGCAAAAGCAGCAGCAGCAAUUGAAAAGUGUUAAACAAGUCUACGAUAUGAUAACCUAAUUUCCUGCCAGGAAAGAGGCGAAAAAACGAUUUUACCCAGAGAGAGACUCUUUAUACCAGGCAGUCAGUGAAAAAUACAAUAAUAAAAACGCAAUCGAAACGAAAGUAAAAGAUUUCUUCAACGGGGCGUUCAUAUGUUUCAACGACAUUCGAGGGCGUGGCGAAGUCGAAGGCCCAAUAAACUGGCAAACAAACAAUAAACAACAGGCGUUACAACAGCGGCUUGCUCAGAAAUUAUAAACAUUCGGGAUCGGCAUCGAAAUCGGGCGGAAACAACGGCUCGAGAAAUCCCUAUGAACCGAAAGUGGUGAUCUUUGAUGCGAAGAAACCUGCGCUUGGACAGGAGGGCCCUGGCGCUGCUGGGCGCCCUCCUCUCGUUCAUCAUCGCCUGGCCGGGCCUGGUCUUCUCGAUGCCCCUCAUGGCCAUGGAUAACUCAAUGCCAGACUCAUCCCAAUCCAACUCCACCUACAGACCCACAUCCAACAACAGCACGAACAAUAGCAAUCUGUUUAGUAAUAGUUAUCUACAAAGUGAUCAUAGUCGUAGUAGUUUAGUGCCGAGCGCAGUGAGUGAACAUAGUGUAAAUCAACCCGCAAAUCAAAGUAUUAAAGCUGAAUUUAAUCAGAGCUUAAGCACGCAUCCAGAACACCAACACCAACACCAACACCAAUCCCAAUACCAAUCCCCAUCCCUAGCCCGGGCGGAGGACUCCGAUCAGCUGGAGGACCCGCUGGGAUUCGUCAUCUCGGCGGCGGCGAACGAUCACCUCGCGGUUUUGUCGCGUACCGAACGCAGCAUUCGUCGCCAGCAGCAGACGCCGCAGAAGAAGCACCACCAUGCGCAAAACCAUCACCAUCACCAGCAGCAGCCACAGUCGCCCGCUGACAAUAAUUUCAUUGGUUCGAAAUCGAAAAGACUGAGCAACCCUAGAAGUAAUCUAAGCAUAAAUAGCAGUAGCAGUAACACACCCAUCAGCAAUCUGGACCGCAACGAGCGCUCCACGGUGCCCCAGUCCCACCUGGCCUGGACCUCCCGCAAGAUCCAGCUGUAUAUCAAAAACCGCAUCCUGCAGAUAAUGCGAGAUGGCGUUGUCAACGGAACCCAGGACGAGAAUAGUGAAUUCACGAUCCUCCAGCGCUCCACGGUGGAUGUGGGACGCAUCAAGCUGCAGAGUGUGGCCACCUGCCUGUAUCUGUGCAUGGACGCGUGUGGUGUUCCCUACGGCUCGAAAGACUUCACCGACGACUGCGUCUUCAACGAGAACAUGGGUCUGCAGAACUACAACACGUACUCCUCCACGUACCACUCGCAGGCGCGGCGGGUCUUCUACUUGGCCCUCAACGGCAGUGGCCAGCCGCGACGCACCCAGAUCCCGGCCAGCCGAUCGCUGGGCAAGCUGAGCACCUACACGAACGCCAUCACGGAGACGGUGCCGCAGGAGCGGGUCGAGCAGCUGAUCGCCAAGAAUUUUGGGGCCAAUCGCGUUAAGCACGGCGUGCGGCAACUCUGUGAUACGGGCAAGCCGCUGAUCGAGCUCAUCGAUGUGGCCAAGUUCCGGGGGCCGCCACAUUGCAGCAGCAACACGAGUGGCAGUAGUACUAGUAAAAGUAGUAGCACUAGCAGUAGCAGUAACAGUAGCACUAGCAGUAGCAGUAGCAGAGACGUUCCUGUGCCUGCGAUCGGCAGCCUGAGUAGUAUUAGUAACAGUAGUCAAAGCGAGAGCGGCCAUAUUAGCAUUAACCCUAGCCGUAGCAGUAAUGUCAAUAGUAGCAGUAGCAGUACCAGUAGCAGUAGUAGUAGCCCCGGUGGCAAGAAGCCCAAUAGGAGGAAGAAGCCCAGGUGCAAGCCGCACGAGCAGGAGGAGACCCACAACUGCCAGAAGCGAGCAGGUGCGGGAUCGGGAGCAGGGGCCCUCAGGAAGCUGGGACCCAAGGCGCAGAGGUGCAAGGAGCUGCGCGAAAAGGCGGCGGCGGAGAAGAGAGCCCCGCCCAAUUGCGGCAAGAAGAAUGGGGCCAGGAAGAGCCCAGAACUGGCCAAAGGGGUGCAGCAGCGGGCCAAGGUCGGCAUCCUGCAGCAGCAGCAGGGUGGCAAGAGAAAGCCCAACAAGGCGGGAAAGCAGCGGCAGAAUGGUGGCAAGAAGCAGCAGCAGCAGCAGCAACAGCCAGCACAUCAGGUCAAGGCCGUUGCCGGCGGCAAGCGGAAGCACCGGAAGUCGGAUGCGAGCACCACCACCACCAUGGCCACCAGCCUGGCCACGCCCCCCGGCAGCCACUGGGAGAGCAGCUCGCCCAUUCCCGCCCUGGCCCUCAGCGAGACCAGCGAUCGGGUGGAGCGCAAUGUGCGCAUGAGCAGCGGCGAGGAUCAGGAUCUGGAUCAGAAUCAGGAGCAGGGCGAUGCGGAGGAGGAGGCCGAGGGCGACGGGGCAUCCCUGGAGGAUGCCAGCUACGAGGACUCCAGCUCCGAGGCCCAAGGACGCAGCGGGGCAGCCGGCGACGAUUCGCUCUACUACGAUUUGUGAGUUUCCCUUAAGCAAAUUCCUAGCUAACCCUUCAUCUAUCUCUCGCAAAACCAACAAUAAUUAAGUAGAGAUUUUCCAAAUUUUAUUACAAUUUUCCAAAUUUAUACAAAUAACUUGUUCCUAAUUGGCAAUAACUUUUUUAAUACGUUUAUUGGAUUGGAAUUUAAUUAUUUCUAAAAUUAUUAGGCAUAUUCUCUUUGGCAUUAACAUUGAUUGGAAUUUUCCAUAGCCUUAAAGUAUUUUCCAAAUUUGAUUCACACAUUUUGUACUUUUUGGUUUAUUUUUAUUUGGUUGUUGUGCUUUUUAUUUUGUUAUUAUUAUAUUUUUCAAAAUUUAAUCAUAUUUGGGCCUGAAAAAAAAUCAAAAACGUUCAAAAUGUGAAAAAUUCAGUUGAAGUCGGUGUGAGACUGUUGAAAAAAGAAGAGAGAAGGGAGGAUCUAGAAGUGAUGUAAAAAGUCUGGCUCGAGAAUGCAAGAGAUAUUGUAAUUGCAAGUUUCCACACACAUCCACACACGAUCAGACACCCACAGACACCCACCCAACACACAGCACAUCCAGCACCAGAUCAACAGCACAUACUAUGUAUCAUCCGCCAGUGUCGGACUGUUGUCCCCCCGGCGAUGAACCGUGAUCCAGGUCAAUGCCAGCCCGCACUAAAGACGAUGAAUAUCAAUGUAUUACGACGGAGUCUCGAGUAUUUUAUAAGAACCUCUCCAGCCAACCAUUUGGAGUGUGGCCACCAUCGAAAUGUAUAAUAAACGCACGCCCAUCCCAUCAGAUAGAUGUAAAUCAAAGCCCUAACCUUACGCAACACGAACGACCCAAAGAGUCUAUUGAAAUACUUGAGUCUCUGUGGCGGAACUUUCACGUUCGGUUGACGAUGAAAAUACUCAAAACACGACCACACCGAUAGUCUACCAGAAACGAAAGAAAAACUCAAAACUAAAACUUGCAAAGCGCUUUCCCAAUACUGUAAACGAGUGAAGCGGCGAAAAAUCGAAUAUGUCGAGGGAAUCCAUCUGUAAAUAGUUACGCGGUUAGUCGUAAGAUCAAUUUUUUGUCUCCGUAUUGUCGAACCUCGCUGCCUCUCAGUGCGUAUGUAUCUUAAGCUCUGUAAAUCAAUUUAAAACUCGAGGUAAUACCCCAUGCGAACCAGCAAAGCCAACGACACAUCGAACACUAUUAUAAAUAAAAUACAUGAAAUGAAUGGAAUGCAAAACUCACAAAUCACAAGAUUGUAUUUAAACUUAAAACCUAUGAAACUAACACUUAAAAUUAAUUUAUUUGAUCGACGAGAAAUAAGCGUGAAAUUAUAGUUUGUAGCUGUAAUAAUGGAGUUAUUUAUUUAUUCGAUAAUAUUUAUUUAUAAACUACUCUUAAGAUGCUUAGGCCCUAGACUAACAAAACUUUGUUAUAACUUAAUUAAAUAUUUAUAAUUAAAAAACAUUUUCCAGAUAAAAGAAUAAAUGAAGAGAGCAUGAGAAAAACGUGAAAAAAACUAAACAAAAAAUAAAUCUAAAAAUACAUUAAUAUGAAA